GAAAAUAACAAUGAUUCCCUUAGUAACGGCGAGCGAAAAGGGAAAAGCCCAGCGCCGAAUCUUGUAUCCCACGGGUGCAAAGACAUGUGGCGUUUGGAACGUGGCAUUGCCUGUGCAGAAUGGUCGUCCAAGUCCCUCUUGAACGGGGCCAUAGCCCAUGGAGGGUGCUAGGCCCGUACGACGACUUUAUUGUGCAGUGCGCCUAGUUCGUAGAGUCGGGUUGCUUGGGAGUGCAGCCCAAAUCAGGUGGUAAACUCCAUCUAAGGCUAAAUAUAACCACGAGACCGAUAGCGAACAAGUACCGUGAGGGAAAGUUGAAAAGAACUUUGAAGAGAGAGUUAAAUAGUACGUGAAACCUCUCGGGGGUAAGCGGGCAGAACUUGCAAGUAUUGGCGGGAACAUUCAGGCUUAGUGUUGGCGGUAAGUGAUGCAGGUAAAGUUGCUCUUUCGGGAGUUGCUGACUUGUGUUGUUUGUUCUGCUGACAAUACGCCGCAUUUGUUUCUGUCAUCGGGUUGGAUGCGACUGAGUGGUUUAGGUGCUGGGAUCCUGCAAAUCCUUGUGGUUUGAGUCUUGGCCAACCACUGUUGCGGUCGUGACUUUCACGAGGGGUGCUAGUGGUAUGUGGACGGAAAACCGUAGCAUGCUGCGUGUACCUGCUGCCGGUGAGAGU
rnacentral:rRNA from 1 species